rnacentral:rRNA from 1 species
CCUACGGGUGGCAGCAGUAGGGAAUCUUCCACAAUGGGCGAAAGCCUGAUGGAGCAACGCCGCGUGGGUGAAGAAGGUCUUCGGAUCGUAAAACCCUGUUGUUAGAGAAGAAAGAGCGUGAGAGUAACUGUUCACGUUUCGACGGUAUCUAACCAGAAAGCCACGGCUAACUACGUGCCAGCAGCCGCGGUAAUACGUAGGUGGCAAGCGUUAUCCGGAUUUAUUGGGCGUAAAGGGGACGCAGGAGGUUUUUUAAGUCUGAUGUGAAAGCCUUCGGCUUAACCGGAGUAGUGCAUUGGAAACUGGGAGACGUGAGUGCAGAAGAGGAGAGUGGAACUUCAUGUGUAGCGGUGAAAUGCGUAGAUAUAUGGAAGAACACCAGUGGCGAAAGCGGCUCUCUGGUCUGUAACUGACGCUGAGGUUCGAAAGCGUGGGUAGCAAACAGGAUUAGAUACCCCUGUAGUC